rnacentral:rRNA from 1 species
CCUACGGGAGGCAGCAGUAGGGAAUCUUCCACAAUGGGCGCAAGCCUGAUGGAGCCACGCCGCGUGAGUGAAGACGGUCUUCGGAUCGUAAAACCUUGUUUUUAGAGAAGAAAGUGCGUGAGCGUAACUGUUCACGUUUCGACGUUAUCUAACCAGAAAGCCACGGCUAACUACGUGCCCGCAGCCGCGGUAAUACGGAGGUGGCGAGCGUUAUCCGGAUUUAUUGGGUUGAAAGGGAACGCAGGCGGUCUUUUAAGUCUGAUGUUAAAGGCUUCGGCUUAACCGUAGUAGUGCAUUGGAUACUGGGAGACUUGAGUGCAGAAGAGGAGGGCGGAACUCGAUGUGUAGCGGUGAAAUGCGUAGAUAUAAGGAAGAACACC